UUUUCUAAAGUGGUUAAGAGGGAAUCUGGGCUGGGCAAAGUUCUCUGUGGCUGAAUUACUUGCCCAGCCAUGUGGCAAGAAUAUGAAGUACUGCUCUCCUUUAGCCAGGCUACAGGCUGAUGUUCAGUCUGUGGCAGAAGGUGUGGACUGGUAGCAUUCCAGUCUGGCAACCUGGCAAUGCCAUCUGCUGACUGUCUCUACCAAGGCGACUGAAACAUACACAGAAACCUCCUUUUGUAACUGUGCACACGAUCCAGGGAUUGGAACUGCUGCAAGAGAUUAAUGGGCGCCCCGGGCAGGAGAUUAGUGAGAUUUCAGCAGAAAAACAAAUACUGGAUAUUCUCUCUCCUGUGAAGAAGCAGCACACCUAUGGGGCUUGAUCAUGGAUGAGUGUGAGAGACUGAGGAAGGAAGAGGAAGGACAUCAAGGAACUAGAUGCUUAGUGCCUGAACCCUGUCAGAUGGACUAAAGAACAAGAAGUGAAAAAGAAGUCCAGUCAAGCAGCUCGCACCUGUAGCUCCACACUUGGGAGGCAGAGGCCGAAGGAUUGCUGCGAGUGUGAGAUUAACCUUCCACGCAUUGAAUCAGAACCCGAUGCCUUUCUACAAACACCAGCAGAAACUACGCGAG